UUCCAAAAUACCUCCUCCUGGUCGGGAAGAAACAGCACAGACCGAGCAGAGCGGAAAACGGGGCAAUGCGUGUUCUGGGUGCCCCCACGGCCCUGAAAAAGCAAUGUGGACCAAAUCCCCCCUCACCCCAGUCUCAGGAUUGGACAGAUUCAACCAAGUGUGCCCGAACAGCCUCACAUUCGGCGGCGGGGGGGGGUGUUAUUUUUUUUUUCCCACGAACAUAUGGAUUGUGUUAGGGUUUAGGAGGCAGUUAAGUUUCAAGUGGAAAAGAGAAAACAAAGGCAGAGUCCGCACACACAUGGGCACAUUCUUUCCCGGGAGAUGUAGCCCCCUGCUUUCAGCUGCUCACUGGGCUCUCUAGAAGACCGUGAAAUACUGAGCCACAUGGCAGCAUUGUUGAAGAGAGCCAAAAUAUGGAGGCUGCCCCAGUGUCCAUCAACAGACGAAUGGAUAAAGAAGAUGUGGCGUAUAUAUACAAUGGAAUAUUACUCAGCCAUAAAAAAAAUGAGAUCUUGCCAUUUGUGACAAAACACAUAGAUCUAGAAGGUAUUGUGUUA